rnacentral:rRNA from 1 species
UACGUAGGGGGCGAGCGUUGUCCGGAAUCAUUGGGCGUAAAGAGCUCGUAGGCGGUCUGUCGCGUCUGCUGUGAAAACUCAGGGCUUAACCCUGAGCUUGCAGUGGGUACGGGCAGACUAGAGUGCGGUAGGGGAGACUGGAAUUCCUGGUGUAGCGGUGAAAUGCGCAGAUAUCAGGAGGAAUACCGAUGGCGAAGGCAGGUCUCCGGGCUGACACUGACGCUCAUGCACGAAAGCGUGGGGAGCAAACAGG